GAUCCUAGAAAAGAGGCCGCUCAGGAUGGGGAUGAGACUUUGAUUGCUCUGGGACCGACGCAUCUCCUCACAUGAUCGAGGCCUUCACAAACCCAAAGUGGAACCACCGUGAAAAUGAUGGGCAACCGGCCACAGGACCCAGGCAGAGACACAGAAAGAGGCUAACCAAAGACUGGGAGACAUGCAAAAAAUCACAUUUUGGCGAACAGAGCACAUUCUUCCAAAGACACACACGCACACGGGCAUACACACACAAACACAUACACACACACGCAGACCGAUAGAGAGAGGGAAAGAAACACACAGAGGGUGAGAGACAGAGAAGAGAUAAUGGGAGACACACACACACACAGAGUCCCACUGCAGUGGCACAGAAACACACACUCCCAGGCAACCCCUGAGGCUAAAUAAU
rnacentral:lncRNA from 1 species